CAUACAGGAGGUGCUCCAUCCCUUGGAUCAUUUUUGUGUCCCUUCUCUGGAUGCGUUCCAACAGGUCCACAUCUCUCCUGUGCUGAGGACUCCACACCCAGAUGUGGUACUCCAGAUGAGGUCUCACAGCACAGGGGUUGCUUAUGCCAGCUGGUGUGAAGAGAGAUGCCCAGGAGUGUGAACCCCACAUUCAGAGAGUGAAUAUGGCCAAGUGGCUGGAUAGAGGAGCUCACUGAUGCCCUAGUGGCAGAAUACUACAGAUUUCAGCUGCAAACUCAUGGACUUCGUCUCACACAGUGCACAUACCACAUCUCGCUUCAGCAAGUGUUAACAUCCACCUCACAGGGCUUCUGAUGGCCCUGUUCCAAACAUAAGACCAUGUGCAACAACCACCAAAGCCACUCCUGGGGUCCUGCCUACUCCACGAAGAGCCCACACAUGAAAGCUGGUUUUGAGCUUUGGUCCACAGAAGCCAAACUCACUGCCUCAGAAAAGGGCAAGUCCAUAGGAGCCCAAUCUCUGUACAAUGGUGUGUAAUAGUUUCCACACAAACUCCCCAGCCUGACAUUUUCUAUCUCUUUUUUCAGAGACGUAUUGCAGCUGUCUCCCUGUGGUGGCUUACAUGAACUGCAGCCUGUGAAAGUGCUCCUGUCUGAUGGAUCCUUACGUCAAGUACACUGUACAGGAUUGUACAGUAACAAAUGGAAGUGAUAUGGUUCUGAAGAUGUCUCAGAUUUGGUAGACACCAAACAAAAUCACUUCCAGAAUAGAGAUCGUGGAGGAUUGACUCCAACCAGCAGCCAAGCACCUAAAGAUGCUUUUCCCCCCCCUCAUAUCCAGUGGGAAAAAAUAGGAAGAGCAAAAGGGAGGAUUGUGGGCUGAGAUAAAGACAACUCAAUAGGUGAAGGAAAGAGGAAAAAAUAUGAGCAAGGCAGAGGAAAUCAUACAGCGCCACCACAGACAGGCUGGUGGUCAGCCAGUCUCUGUACAAGGGGCAGCUUAGAAGACAAAAGCCUUUCUACUCUCUUUAUCUCAGUUUUUAUUGCUGGGCAUAAAAUGACAGAAUCACCAAGGCUAGAAAAGACCUCCAAGGUCAUUCAGUGUGACCAUCCACAUAUCACCAAUACUUCCCAC
rnacentral:lncRNA from 1 species